GUGGACUCUCAAGCGUGAGGUAAGAGCAUUUGGUGAAUGCCUUGGCAUAUACAGGCGAUGAAGGACGUGGCACGCUGCGAUAAGCGUGGGGGAGCCGUGAGCAGGCUUUGAUCCCACGAUUUCCGAAUGGGGAAACCCAUCCUCACUAUUUAAUUUCGCUGCUGAGCAAUCAGUGUCGGAGUUAAAUAGGAAGGAUAUCACUUAGCUGAAUAAAAUAGGCUUAGUGAAGCGAACCCGGAGAACUGAAACAUCUCAGUACCCGGAGGAAAAGACAUCAACCGAGAUUCCGUUAGUAGUGGCGAGCGAACGCGGACCAGGCCAGUGCCUGGUGUUUAAUUAGCAAAAGCUUCUGGAAAGUAGCGCCAUAGUGGGUGACAGCCCCGUAUGCGAAAAUGAAACAUCAGGACUUGAGUAGGGCGGGACACGUGUAAUCCUGUCUGAAUAUAGGGGGACCACCCUCUAAGCCUAAAUACUCGUAUAUGACCGAUAGCGAACUAGUACCGUGAGGGAAAGGUGAAAAGCACCCCGAUGAGGGGAGUGAAACAGUACCUGAAACCGAAUGCUUACAAUCAGUUGGAGCCUCUUUAUGGGGUGACAGCGUACCUCUUGUAUAAUGGGUCUGUGACUUAAUGUAUCAUGCAAGCUUAAGCCGUUAGGUGUAGGCGUAGCGAAAGCGAGUGAUCUAUGCAUGACCAGGUUGAAGGUGCGGUAACACGCACUGGAGGACCGAACCGUUCAAUGUUGAAAAAUUGUCGGAUGAGUUGUGCUUAGGGGUGAAAGGCCAAUCAAGCCGGGAAAUAGCUGGUUCUCCGCGAAAACUAUUGAGGUAGUGCCUCGGAUGUUUUCCGAUGGGGGUAGAGCACUGGAUGGAUGCGGGGGUCGCGAGAUCUACCAAUUCUAACCAAACUCCGAAUACCAUCGAGUUAGUCCGGGAGACAGACGGCGGGUGCUAAGGUCCGUCGUCAAAAGGGAAACAGCCCUAACCUACAGCUAAGGUCCCCAAAUCAUAUCUAAGUGGUGAAGCAUGUGGGAUUUCCAAAACAACCAGGAGGUUGGCUUAGAAGCAGCCAUCCUUUAAAGAAAGCGUAACAGCUCACUGGUCUAAAUAAGAGAUCCUGCGGCGAAAAUGUAACGGGGCUAAAGAUAUGUACCGAAGCUUAGGGUGUGCAAUUUAUUGCAUGCGGUAGCGGAGCGUUCCGUAGGCCGAUGAAGCGAUCUGGUAAUGGGUCGUGGAGGUAUCGGAAGUGCGAAUGCAGACAUGAGUAGCGAUAGGAGGGUGAGACACCCUCCCGCCGAAAGACCAAGGGUUCCUGCUUAAAGCUAAUCUGAGCAGGGUAAGCCGGCCCCUAAGACGAGCCCGAAGGGGGUAGUCGAUGGGAACCACGUUAAUAUUCGUGGGCCUGGUGGUGUGUGACGGAUCUCGUGAGUUGUCAGUCCUUAUUGGAUUGGACUGGCUUCGAAGAGGUUCCAGGAAAUAGCCCCACCGUAUAGACCGUACCCGAAACCGACACAGGUGGUCAGGUAGAGUAUACCAAGGCGUUUGAGAGAAGUAUCCUGAAGGAACUCGGCAAAUUGCCUCCGUACCUUCGGAAGAAGGAGGCCCUCACAUUGCGCAAGCAGUGUGAGGGGGCACAGGCCAGGGGGUAGCGACUGUUUAGCAAAAACACAGGACUCUGCUAAGUCGGCUUCAAGACGACGUAUAGGGUCUGACGCCUGCCCGGUGCUGGAAGGUUAAGAGGAGGAGUGCAAGCUCCGAAUUGAAGCCCCAGUAAACGGCGGCCGUAACUAUAACGGUCCUAAGGUAGCGAAAUUCCUUGUCGGGUAAGUUCCGACCUGCACGAAUGGCGUAACGACUUCCCCACUGU
rnacentral:rRNA from 1 species